rnacentral:rRNA from 1 species
UACGUAGGGUGCAAGCGUUAAUCGGAAUUACUGGGCGUAAAGCGUGCGCAGGCGGUUUUGUAAGUCUGACGUGAAAUCCCCGGGCUCAACCUGGGAAUUGCGUUGGAGACUGCAAGGCUAGAAUCUGGCAGAGGGGGGUAGAAUUCCACGUGUAGCAGUGAAAUGCGUAGAGAUGUGGAGGAACACCGAUGGCAAAGGCAGCCCCCUGGGUCAAGAUUGACGCUCAUGCACGAAAGCGUGGGGAGCAAACAGG